rnacentral:rRNA from 1 species
AUUGAACGCUGGCGGCAGGCCUAACACAUGCAAGUCGAGCGGAGCGGCGGACGGGUGAGUAACGCCUAGGAAUCUGCCUGGCAGCGGGGGAUAACGUCCGGAAACGGGCGCUAAUACUGCAUACUAUCAGAUGAGCCUAGGUCGGAUUAGCUCGUUGGGGGGCUAAAGGCCUACCUAGGCGACGAUCCGUAACUGGUCCGAGAGGAAGAUCAGUCACAAUGGAACUGAGACACGGUCCAGACUCCUACAGUAGGAAGCAGUGAGGAAUAUUGGACAAUGGGCGAAACCCUGGUCCAGCCAUGCCGGGUGUGUAGAAAAGGUCUUCGGAUUGUAGAGCACUUAAAGUUGGUAGGCGUUACCAACAGAAUAAGCACCGGCUAGCUUCGUGCCAACCGCCGCGGUAAUAC